rnacentral:rRNA from 1 species
UACAGAGGUCCCAAGCGUUGUUCGGAUUCACUGGGCGUAAAGGGUGCGUAGGCGGUAAGGCAAGUCAGGUGUGAAAUCUCCGGGCUCAACCCGGAAAUGGCAUUCGAAACUACCUUGCUAGAGGGUUUGAGGGGGGACUGGAAUACUUGGUGUAGCAGUGAAAUGCGUAGAUAUCGGGAGGAACACCAGUGGCGAAGGCGACUACCUGGCCUGUUCUUGACGCUGAGGCGCGAAAGCUAGGGGAGCAAACGGG